CUUUCUCGGCAGCGCCGUAGAGCGCGAGCAGACGGUGCAGCAUGGCGCACAGCGGAGGCCGCGGGCGGCCGAACCCGGCGUGUCCUUGGGCGUUUCCAGGUGCGAAUCCUGCGGUCUGCUUAACCCCGUGUGUGCGGAGAGGGCUUCCUUGUUGGCGGCGUCCGUCUCUAGCCGGGUGCAACAAAACCUGCUCAUUUGAAGGUGCUUGAACAAAUAUUUUCUAAACACUUGUCAUGGAGAGUGAUUGAAACAAGCUGCCAGGACUACAUUUGCCAAUAACAAGCAUGUAGGUGGCUGUAGUGGAUGUCCAACUUUGGGAGCUGUGAUGUCUAAAAACCCUUUAUUGUUUUGGCUUACAUAUUGGAAGGUAAAAUGAAGGCCAUGAACAAAGUCAAGAAGCCAUAAACAGAAGCAAAUGGUGAAAAUUAAUAUCUAAUUUAAUAUUAAUAAGUUAUAUAUAAAUAAACAGUUAUUCUUAA
rnacentral:lncRNA from 1 species